UUUCAGAUUUUACCACAUUCUAGUAUUUACUUGUUUUGUUUUUAUUUUUUAGGCUUUGUUUUUGUUUUACCUGCUUUCCGGAACCGUUCUUCGCCAAACUUUAAUCUUGUUGUCACGAUUAACUCCGCUCCACAUCACAAGUCUGUCGACGUAUGCGGUGAGCCACUGGACAAACGUUAACAGCAGGAAAGCUGUCCAUAUAGAGAUUCCCCUAAAUGUUUGAUGAGUAGUGUUUUUUUCUGUACAAGCCAAAAUUCUCAAACGUAUCAGCCUGGGGCCAGUUUAAACAUCACUACCAUGGCAUCCACUCAAAAUAUAAUCUGACAGGAAGAACUGGAAGAUCUCAGUCACAAGUCAAUGCUCAGCGCAGAACAACAGGUGCAGGAGCUCAGCUUACAGACCUGCAGCUUCUGCUGUCUGAGACUCAAAUACUCAAAUACUUGAUGUUUUUUUUUGUAUUAAGCAUUAAGUCGAUUUUCACCUGGAGUUGGUUAUU